rnacentral:sRNA from 1 species
GAUCAGCAGAGGAAAAGCAGAACCGCC